rnacentral:rRNA from 1 species
GGCCCUACGGGGUGCAGCAGGCGCGAAAACUUUACAAUGCUGGCAACAGCGAUAAGGGAACCUCGAGUGCCAGGUUACAAAUCUGGCUGUCGAGAUGCCUAAAAAGCAUUUCAUAGCAAGGGCCGGGCAAGACCGGUGCCAGCCGCCGCGGUAACACCGGCGGCUCGAGUGGUAACCGUUAUUAUUGGGUCUAAAGGGUCUGUAGCCGGCCGGAUAAGUCUCUUGAGAAAUCUGGCAGCUUAACUGUCAGGCUUUCAGGAGAUACUGUCUGGCUCGAGGCCGGGAGAGGUGAGAGGUACUUCAGGGGUAGGGGUGAAAUCUUGUAAUCCUUGAAGGACCACCAGUGGCGAAGGCGUCUCACCAGAACGGACCUGACGGCAAGGGACGAAAGCUAGGGGCACGAACCGGAUUAGAUACCCGGGUAGUCCUAGCCGUAAACGAUACUCGCUAGGUGUCGGCCACGGUGCGACCGUUGUCGGUGCCGUAGGGAAGCCGUGAAGCGAGCCACCUGGGAAGUACGGCCGCAAGGCUGAAACUUAAAGGAAUCGGCGGGGGAGCACCACAACGGGUGGAGCUUGCGGUUUAAUUGG